UGAGGUGUAGCCAAUGAGUGGGAAAGCCCCAGAACCAGGUCAAAACCCCUCUCCAGCCACUCCCCAUAAUGAGGUCCCAUUUCAGCGAGUAGCUGUGUAU